GGGGAAUAUUGGACAAUGGGCGCAAGCCUGAUCCAGCCAUGCCGCGUGUGUGAAGAAGGCCUUCGGGUUGUAAAGCACUUUUGUACGGGAAGAAAAGCGUACGGUUAAUACCUGUGCGUCAUGACCGUACCCCGCGAAUCAGGCUCGGCUAACUCUGUGCCAGCAGCCGCGGUAAAACGUAGGAGGCAAGCGUUAUCCGGAGUAACUGGGCGUAAAGGGCGAGUAGGUGGUUUGAUAAGUUGGUUAUGAAAGCUCCUGGCUAAACUGGGAGAGGCUGACCAAGACUGUCAGACUUGAGUGGAGAAGAGGUCAACGGAAUUCCGCGUGUAGUGGUGAAAUGCGUAGAGAUGCGGAAGAACACCAGUGGCGAAGGCGGUUGACUGGUCUCCAACUGACACUGAACCGCGAAAGCAUGGGUAGCGAA
rnacentral:rRNA from 1 species